UGGGGGAUAUUGCACAAUGGGCGAAAGCCUGAUGCAGCGACGCCGCGUGGGGGAUGAAGGCCUUCGGGUUGUAAACUUCUUUUGCUCUGAACACGGCAUGCUAAUGGGUGUGUUGAGUGUAGGGGUUGAUUAGCGCCGGCUAACUACGUGCCAGCAGCCGCGGUAAUACGUAGGGCGCGAGCGUUGUCCGGAAUUAUUGGGCGUAAAGGGCUUGUAGGUGGCUGGUUGCGUCUGUCGUGAAAGCUCAUGGCUUAACUGUGGGUUUGCGGUGGGUACGGGCUGGCUUGAGUGCAGUAGGGGAGGCUGGAAUUCCUGGUGUAGCGGUGGAAUGCGCAGAUAUCAGGAGGAAUACCGGUGGCGAAGGCGGGUCUCUGGGCUGUUACUGACACUGAGGAGCGAAAGCAUGGGGAGCGAACAGG
rnacentral:rRNA from 1 species